rnacentral:rRNA from 1 species
AUGCUUGAAGAACUACUCAAAAUCUAUCACACUAUUGAAGCUUUUUACUUGGAUCAUCUUCUAUCCAUUUGUGCUCGUGCUGAAACCCCAACUAGCUUAGUUGAGGGCAAAUCUUUAGAUGAGCAUGCUUGUUAUGUGCGACACCGUAUAUCGGAAAAAGGGAAACUAUUAUGGGAUCAAAUUCAACGUUUGCAAUGCUAUGCUUGGACUUUAUGUCAAUUAUAUGAUAUUACUUGUUGUUCUGAAAACCCUAAGAAACACCUUCCCUACCAAUGUGAGUUUGAUAAUGGGAUCGUAUCUUCAUAUGCUAAGGGUGUUUAUAAUUACUAUGAUGUUCAACAAAUUGAAGAAUUUGUUGCUUUUAAGGGUGCUUUUGAAAUUGUUUCUUUGAUUGAAGAGUAUGAUGCUACACUUUACAAAUCUGAAAGUUUUGCCAUACUUGAAUAUUGUUAUGAUAAUUAUGCUUCUAAUGCCUAUGUUAAACCAUAUAUUGAGAAAUUCUCCGCUGUCCAAGAAGAGACUAAUAUUUUGCAGGAAGCUAUGGAAGAAGAAAUUGAUGAAACUGUGAGCUCAUUGGAUGAAAAAGAUGAUGAGGAGAGCGAAGAACAAAAGGAGGAAGAGCGGAUUAGCUACCCAUGCCCACCUUCUAAUGAGAAUAACUCUUCAACUCAUACAUUGUUUAAUUCCCCUUUGUGCUUACCGAAGGAUGAUUGCUAUGAUGAUUGUUAUGAUCCCGUUGAUUCUCUUGAAAUAUCCCCUUUUAAUGAUGCUUUCUAUGCUUGUGGCCAAGAUGCCAAUAUGAAUUAUGCUUAUGGAGAUGAACUUUCUAUAGUUCCUUAUGUUAAACAUGCAAUUGUUGCUAUUUCACCCACGCAUGAUAGUCCUAUUAUCUUUCUGAAUUCUCCCUACUACACUAUAUCGAAGAAGUUUGUGCUUAUUAAGGAUUAUAUUGAUGGGUUGCCUUUUACCAUUGCACAGGAUGAUUUUGAUGAAUAUAAUAUGCAUGUGCUUGCUGCUCCUACUUGCAAUUAUUAUGAGAGAGGAACUUUAUCUCCACCUCUCUAUGUUUCCAAUACGAUAGAAUUGCUAGAAACUGUUUAUACUAUGCAUUGGCCUUUACUAUGUGUGCAUGAAUUGUUCUUUUAUGACAUGCCGAUGCAUAGAAAGAGAGUUAGACUUCGUUGUUGCAUGAUAUAUGUUACUUUGUGCUCACUACUAAAUUACAAAUCAUUGUUAAUUAAAAUUGGCUUUGAUAUACCUUGGGAUCCGGGUGGAUUCAUUAGUUGA